CAACUUAAGAGUUUGAUCCUGGCUCAGAACGAACGCUGGCGGCAGGCCUAACACAUGCAAGUCGAACGAGAAGCCACCUUCGGGUGGUGGACAGUGGCAGACGGGUGAGUAACGCGUGGGAACGUGCCUUUCGGUUCGGGAUAACCCAGGGAAACUUGGGCUAAUACCGGAUACGCCCUUCGGGGGAAAGAUUCAUUGCCGAAAGAUCGGCCCGCGUCGGAUUAGCUAGUUGGUGGGGUAAUGGCCUACCAAGGCGACGAUCCGUAGCUGGUCUGAGAGGAUGACCAGCCACACUGGGACUGAGACACGGCCCAGACUCCUACGGGAGGCAGCAGUGGGGAAUAUUGGACAAUGGGCGAAAGCCUGAUCCAGCCAUGCCGCGUGGGUGAAGAAGGCCCUAGGGUUGUAAACCCCUUUCAGCGGGGAAGAUAAUGACGGUACCCGCAGAAGAAGCCCCGGCUAACUCCGUGCCAGCAGCCGCGGUAAUACGGAGGGGGCUAGCGUUGUUCGGAAUUACUGGGCGUAAAGCGCACGUAGGC
rnacentral:rRNA from 1 species